AAAAAGAUAAGCUAAUUAAGCUAAUGGGUUCAUACCUCAUAGAUAAAAAUUUUAAUUUUUUUCUUUUUA
rnacentral:tRNA from 1 species